GAGUUUUGNGGGGUUGCAGCUGGNUCUCCGGGGACAAUGUGCUCGCCCUGCUCAAUCCAUUCAACACCUGUGCACUUUGUGAGGUUUGGUGUGUGUCCCCUCCAGCGAAUGGAGCCGCUCCUUCGAGGUCCACUCGAAGUCGAGCCGGGGGAAACCUUCCGAUCCUCUCGUUUCACAAACCCUUGAUAAAGUCUUGUCGAAUGUUAAAUGCAAUGUAAAUACAACUUUCAACAACGGAUCUCUUGGCUCUCGCAUCGAUGAAGAACGCAGCGAAAUGCGAUAAGUAAUGUGAAUUGCAGAAUUCAGUGAAUCAUCGAAUCUUUGAACGCAUCUUGCGCUCCUUGGUAUUCCGAGGAGCAUGCCUGUUUUGAGUGUCGUGAAAUCUUCAACCUCGUUUCGCUUUGUGUGGAGUGAGGCUUGGAUUGUGGGGGCUGCCGGGUCUUGACUCGGCUCCUCUGGAAAGCAUCAGCGCGGUGUUUCCGACGCGACUCGUGGUGUUGUAGGCACAAACUUGCACCUUCGACGUGGUCGUGGCGGGGCCGGGCUUCCAAUCUGGAUUUUGUCCUUAGCCGGAUGAAUCCGUUCUUUUCAAUCUGACCUCAAAUCAGGUAGGACUACCCGCUGACUUAAGCAUAUCHAUAAGCGGACAAGGAUUCCCUAGUAACUGCGAGUGAAGCGGGAAGAGCUCAAAUUUAAAAUCUGGCGGCUUCGUCGUCCGAGUUGUAAUCUGGAGAAGCGUUUUCCGCAUUGGACCGUGUACAAGUCUCUUGGAACAGAGCGUCAUAGAGGGUGAGAAUCCCGUCUCUGACACGGACCGCCAAUGCUUUGUGAUACGCUCUCGAAGAGUCGAGUUGUUUGGGAAUGCAGCUCAAAAUGGGUGGUAAAUUCCAUCUAAAGCUAAAUAUUGGCGAGAGACCGAUAGCGAACAAGUACCGUGAGGGAAAGAUGAAAAGCACUUUGGAAAGAGAGUUAAACAGUACGUGAAAUUGUUGAAAGGGAAACGCUUGAAGUCAGUCGCGUCGAGUGAGACUCAGCUUGGCUUCUGCCGGGUGUACUUCUCGUUCGACGGGCCAACAUCGAUUUGGGUCGACGGACAAAGAUGUGGGGAAUGUGGCACCUCCGGGUGUGUUAUAGCCCCGCGUCGCAUAUGUUGAUCGGGAUCGAGGACCGCAGCACGCCUUUAUGGCCGGGGUUCGCCCACGUAACGUGCUUAGGAUGUUGGCGUAAUGGCUUUAAACGACCCGUCUUGAAACACGGACCAAGGAGUCUAACAUGCCCGCGAGUGUUAGGGUGGAAAACCCUUGCGCGUAAUGAAAGUGAAAGUUGGGACCCUCGUCGUGGGGGGCACCGACGCCCGGUCUUGAACUUCUGUGACGGUACCGCGGUAGAGCGUGUAUGUUGGGACCCGAAAGAUGGUGAACUAUGCCUGAAUAGGGUGAAGCCAGAGGAAACUCUGGUGGAGGCUCGUAGCGAUUCUGACGUGCAAAUCGAUCGUCAAAUUUGGGUAUAGGGGCGAAAGACUAAUCGAACCAUCUAGUAGCUGGUUCCUGCCGAAGUUUCCCUCAGGAUAGCAGAAACUCGUAUCAGAUUUAUGUGGUAAAGCGAAUGAUUAGAGGCCUUGGGGUUGAAACAACCUUAACCUAUUCUCAAACUUUAAAUAUGUAAGAACAAGCCGUCUCUUAGUUGGACCGCUUGGCGAUUGAGAGUUUCUAGUGGGCCAYUUUUGGUAAGCAGAACUGGCGAUGCGGGAUGAACCGAACGCGAGGUUAAGGUGCCGGAAUGCACGCUCAUCAGACACCACAAAAGGUGUUAGUUCAUCUAGACAGCAGGACGGUGGCCAUGGAAGUCGGAACCCSCUAAGGAGUGUGUAACAACUCACCUGCCGRAUGAACUAGCCCUGAAAAUGGAUGGCSGUCCACGUGCU
rnacentral:rRNA from 1 species